CCUACGGGAGGCAGCAGUGAGGAAUAUUGGUCAAUGGUCGGGAGACUGAACCAGCCAAGCCGCGUGAGGGAUGAAGGUACAGAGUAUCGUAAACCUCUUUUGUCAGGGAACAAAGUCGGGGACGUGUCCCCGGCUGAGUGUACCUGAAGAAAAAGCAUCGGCUAACUCCGUGCCAGCAGCCGCGGUAAUACGGAGGAUGCGAGCGUUAUCCGGAUUUAUUGGGUUUAAAGGGUGCGCAGGCGGUCUGUUAAGUCAGCGGUCAAAGCCCGGGGCUCAACCCCGGCCCGCCGUUGAAACUGGCAGUCUCGAGUUGGAGAGAGGUAUGCGGAAUGCGCGGUGGAGCGGUGAAAUGCAUAGAUAGCGCGCAGAACUCCGAUUGCGAAGGCAGCAUGCCGGCUCCACACUGACGCUGAGGCACGAAAGCGUGGGUAUCGAACAGGAUUAGAUACCCCUGUAGUC
rnacentral:rRNA from 1 species